CCUACGGGAGGCAGCAGUGGGGAAUUUUGGACAAUGGGGGCAACCCUGAUCCAGCCAUGCCGCGUGCGGGACGAAGGCCUUCGGGUUGUAAACCGCUUUCAGACGGAAAGAAACAGCACAAGAUAAUACCUUGUGCGAAUGACGGUACCGUCAGAAGAAGCACCGGCUAACUACGUGCCAGCAGCCGCGGUAAUACGUAGGGUGCGAGCGUUAAUCGGAAUUACUGGGCGUAAAGAGUGCGCAGGCGGCUCUUUAAGACAGGUGUGAAAUCCCCGGGCUUAACCUGGGAAUGGCGCUUGUGACUGGAGAGCUAGAGUGUGGCAGAGGGGAAUGGAAUUCCUGGUGUAGCAGUGAAAUGCGUAGAUAUCAGGAGGAACACCAAUGGCGAAGGCAGUUCCCUGGGCCAACACUGACGCUCAUGCACGAAAGCGUGGGGAGCAAACAGGAUUAGAUACCCUGGUAGUCCACGCCCUAAACGAUGUCAACUAGUUGUUGGGGGAGGAGACUCCUUUAGUAACGAAGCUAACGCGUGAAGUUGACCGCCUGGGGAGUACGGCCGCAAGGCUAAAACUCAAAGGAAUUGACGGGG
rnacentral:rRNA from 1 species